UGAGUAACACGUGGGUAACCUGCCCAUCAGAAGGGGAUAACACUUGGAAACAGGUGCUAAUACCGUAUAACAAUCGAAACCGCAUGGUUUUGAUUUGAAAGGCGCUUUCGGGUGUCGCUGAUGGAUGGACCCGCGGUGCAUUAGCUAGUUGGUGAGGUAACGGCUCACCAAGGCCACGAUGCAUAGCCGACCUGAGAGGGUGAUCGGCCACAUUGGGACUGAGACACGGCCCAAACUCCUACGGGAGGCAGCAGUAGGGAAUCUUCGGCAAUGGACGAAAGUCUGACCGAGCAACGCCGCGUGAGUGAAGAAGGUUUUCGGAUCGUAAAACUCUGUUGUUAGAGAAGAAYAAGGAUGAGAGUAACUGUUCAUCCCUUGACGGUAUCUAACCAGAAAGCCACGGCUAACUACGUGCCAGCAGCCGCGGUAAUACGUAGGUGGCAA
rnacentral:rRNA from 1 species